rnacentral:rRNA from 1 species
AUUGGGUUAAGGGUGCGCAGGCGGGGGAUUAGGUCGGCGGUGAAAUAUCACGGGCUCAACCUUGAGAGUGCCGUCGAAACCGGUUUUCUUGAGUGCGGAUGAAGUAGGCGGAAUUUGUGGUGUAGCGGUGAAAUGCGUAGAUAUCACAAAGAACACCGAUUGCGGAGGCAGCUUACUAAACCGCAACUGACGCUCAUGCACGAAGGCGUGGGGAUCAAACAGGAUUAGAUACCCUGGUAGUCCACGCAGUAAACGAUGAUUACUAGCUGUUUGCGAUACAAUGUAAGCGGCUGAGCGAAAGCGUUAAGUAAUCCACCUGGGGAGUACGUUCGCAAGAAUGAAACUCAAAGGAAUUGACGGGGGCCCGCACAAGCGGAGGAACAUGUGGUUUAAUUCGAUGAUACGCGAGGAACCUUACCCGGGCUUGAAAUGCAUCUGACCGGGCCGGAAACGGUCUUUCCCAGCGAUGGGCAGAUGUGUAGGUGCUGCAUGGUUGUCGUCAGCUCGUGCCGUGAGGUGUCGGCUUAAGUGCCAUAACGAGCGCAACCCUCAUCGUCAGUUACCAUCGGGUAAAGCCGGGGACUCUGACGAGACUGCCAUCGUAAGAUGCGAGGAAGGUGGGGAUGACGUCAAAUCAGCACGGCCCUUAUGUCCGGGGCGACACACGUGUUACAA